rnacentral:rRNA from 1 species
AUUGAACGCUGGCGGCAUGCCUUACACAUGCAAGUCGGACGGUAACAGGUCUUCGGAUGCUGACGAGUGGCGAACGGGUGAGUAAUACAUCGGAACGUGCCUAGUAGUGGGGGAUAACUACUCGAAAGAGUGGCUAAUACCGCAUGAGAUCUACGGAUGAAAGCAGGGGAUCGCAAGACCUUGUGCUACUAGAGCGGCCGAUGGCAGAUUAGGUAGUUGGUGGGAUAAAAGCUUACCAAGCCGACGAUCUGUAGCUGGUCUGAGAGGACGAUCAGCCACACUGGGACUGAGACACGGCCCAGACUCCUACGGGAGGCAGCAGUGGGGAAUUUUGGACAAUGGGCGCAAGCCUGAUCCAGCAAUGCCGCGUGCAGGAUGAAGGCCUCCGGGUUGUAAACCGCUUUUGUCAGGGAAGAAAAGCUCCGGGCUAAUACCUCGGGGUCAUGACGGUACCUGAAGAAUAAGCACCGGCUAACUACGUGCCAGCCGCCGCGGUAA